GCCGGCAUAGCUCAGUUGGUAGAGCAACUGCCUUGUAAGCAGUAGGUCAGGGGUUCGAGUCCCCUUGCCGGCUCCC
rnacentral:tRNA from 2 species